rnacentral:rRNA from 1 species
AUUGAACGCUGGCGGCGUGCCUUACACAUGCAAGUCGAACGGCAGCACGGGGCAACCCUGGUGGCGAGUGGCGAACGGGUGAGUAAUACAUCGGAACGUGCCCAGUCGUGGGGGAUAACGCAGCGAAAGCUGCGCUAAUACCGCAUACGAUCUCUGGAUGAAAGCGGGGGACCGAAAGGCCUCGCGCGAGUGGAGCGGCCGAUGUCAGAUUAGGUAGUUGGUGGGGGAAAGGCCCACCAAGCCAACGAUCUGUAGCUGGUCUGAGAGGACGACCAGCCACACUGGGACUGAGACACGGCCCAGACUCCUACGGGAGGCAGCAGUGGGGAAUUUUGGACAAUGGGCGCAAGCCUGAUCCAGCAAUGCCGCGUGCAGGAAGAAGGCCUUCGGGUUGUAAACUGCUUUUGUACGGAACGAAACGGUCCGGGUUAAUCCCCUGGGCUAAUAACGGUACCGUAAGAAUAAGCACCGGCUAACUACGUGCCAGCCGCCGCCGUAACAC